GACGUAGGAGGCGAGCGUUGUCCGGAUUCAUUGGGCGUAAAGAGCGCGCAGGCGGCUUGGUAAGUCGGAUGUGAAAACCCGAGGCUCAACCUCGGGCGUGCAUCCGAUACUGCUCGGCUAGAGGUAGGUAGGGGAGAUCGGAAUUCCUGGUGUAGCGGUGAAAUGCGCAGAUAUCAGGAGGAACACCGGUGGCGAAGGCGGAUCUCUGGGCCUGUCCUGACGCUGAGGCGCGAAAGCUAGGGGAGCGAACAGG
rnacentral:rRNA from 1 species